rnacentral:rRNA from 1 species
UACGGAGGGUGCAAGCGUUAAUCGGAAUUACUGGGCGUAAAGCGUGCGCAGGCGGUUUGUUAAGUCUGCUGUGAAAUCCCCGGGCUCAACCUGGGAAUGGCAUUCGGGACUGCAAGGCUGGAGUGCGGCAGAGGAGACUGGAAUUCCUGGUGUAGCAGUGAAAUGCGUAGAUAUCAGGAGGAAUACCGAUGGCGAAGGCAGGUCUCUGGGCUGACACUGACGCUCAUGCACGAAAGCGUGGGGAGCAAACAGG